CCUACGGGCGACAGCAGUGAGGAAUAUUGGUCAAUGGACGAGAGUCUGAACCAGCCAAGUAGCGUGAAGGAUGACUGCCCUAUGGGUUGUAAACUUCUUUUAUAUGGGAAUAAAAUGUUCCACGUGUGGGAUUUUGUAUGUACCAUAUGAAUAAGGAUCGGCUAACUCCGUGCCAGCAGCCGCGGUAAUACGGAGGAUCCGAGCGUUAUCCGGAUUUAUUGGGUUUAAAGGGAGCGUAGGUGGAUUGUUAAGUCAGUUGUGAAAGUUUGCGGCUCAACCGUAAAAUUGCAGUUGAAACUGGCAGUCUUGAGUACAGUAGAGGUGGGCGGAAGUCGUGGUGUAGCGGUGAAAUGCUUAGAUAUCACGAAGAACUCCGAUUGCGAAGGCAGUUCACUGGACUGCAACUGACACUGAGGCUCGAAAGUGUGGGUAUCAAACAGGAUUAGAUACCCCGGUAGUC
rnacentral:rRNA from 1 species